AUGAGCUUGGGGCUCCAGUCCCGGAUAUUGGGGCGGGCUCCACAGCCUAGUGACAGGCGGAGGCGACCCUAGCAGAAAAGAACCGAAGCCUGGCUGGGGAGAGGGUCUGCACCCUCCUACGCGGCCCUUUCCUGUUUUGACCCCUGAAGUUGCCAGACCAGGUUGGAGGUGUAAGGGCCCCCGCGCUCCGGGGUCGGGACAGUGAGGCGCUCUGUGGGGCAUCCUCCCCCGGCCCCUGGGAACCGUCCAUCUGUGGGGCAGGCUGGGAGCCAGGCUGUGGGAACGUGGGGGAGGUGGGAGCCGGUGGAGGACAGAUGGCUGGAAAUUCAGCCUAGCGGCUGGCUGUGGCACAGAAGGCACCGGCUGGUGUGCCCAGCUCGAGCGAGUGCCCUGGACCCGCAGCCCGGAUGUGGUGUGUGGUGGGCCAACCUGCGCAGAGACCCUGCCCUCGGACUGUGGGAGUUUGAGGCAGGGUGGGGGUGGGGGCUCCUUGGGAAGGGGACAUCUUUGCUGGUGUUUGCCUGGAGGAUCGCAGUAACCGUCAGACCGAUUCUCCGACCCCACAGCCAGGAUGUCGCCCCAUUAUGUGUGCUGGGCGUGGGUUUCCUCUCUGGACCCAGAGGCGGGAGGUUCCCAGGGCACUGCUCAGAGAGGGCUGGCUGGAGGGAGACAAAGGGGCGGCGACGUCCUGGCGCUGGCCUUGUGAGUUGCUGGGAGGUCUGGGAAACUAACUCCUGGAGGCUGGCUCUCCUCUGUCUGGCAGACCCCACGCAGUGGGCAGGGCUGCCCGCCAUCCGCUUGCUGGCCAGGCAGGGGCCGGAGGUCUGUGGGAGUUGCCAGGCUCCCCAGUGGAGGGCUGGCAUGGGGUGCGUGGCCCCGACAUCAUCCUCUGGGUGGCCUUUGGAAGACUGGAAGGGGUGGCCCUGUGCUGUGAGCCCCUGCUGAGAACCUGUCUGAGCAGGAAGGACCACGCUGCCAGCCUGACGGCCCUUCUGUGCUGAGCGCUGAGCGUUAAGCGGCCUCGGGGAGAGGGGAGUGGGGGCAGGGGCAGCAGAUGUGGCAGACGCUGCCAGAGUGAGGCGAGACUCGGGAGGGAGGACAGCACAUCGCAGCACCAUUUCCUGGGGAAUCCGCAGUGAGCUCGUGUGACGGGAAGGACGGAAGGGUCCUGUGAGCCGAUCUGGCCCUGGGGCCGAGGACCGCCACACACCCAGCCAGGACACCCCAAGCUCUCUCCCCUGUCACCAGGUUAUCCGUGUAAUUCAGUUACCAGCCAGGAAAUCUCCCCGAUUCAGCGCCACAGAUUUUCAUUCCCGCAUGACUGGAAGAAAUUAAUUUUCCUUCCUACACAAGGAUCUGGAGACACCGGCAGGCUGGGUCACUAAUCUGCAGGCCCCAGCCGGCCGGCCGAGGUGGAGGUCAGGCUUCCUGCUGCGCCCUGGCCACGAGGUUUCCCUGCCACCUUCUGGAACCAUCUGGCGCUCUGGACUGCCUCCCCUCCCUCGCCGCGCUGCGAGCAGGGUCUGCUGUCCCUCGCCACUGCCAAGCCCCCCGAGACCUGGGAAGAGCUGGCACCUUCCCUCUCUCUGUGCCGACAUCUUGCGGUUCUGCUGCGUCCUGCUGGCUCCAUCCCUGGGUGUCAGGCCCUGGGGGCCCCGAGCACCAUAGUGCUGCAGACCCCGAGAGGUCAGCACCUGCAGCACAGCAGCUGGGGCUGAGGCCCCCACUUCACCCUCCCUGCGCUGGAGCCUGGGUGCCCUGAGGCUGGAGGAUGCUUCGAGGCUUCAGGAAGGCGCACCGCCCCUCGGAGGGACCGGGGCUCACCCAGAGCCGUGCAGAAGGCCUGGGGCUGCUUUCCUCCAGGCUGUGGGGUCUCCAUCAGGCCGGGCAGCCGCUUGUGGGCUUGUGCUCCCUGCACUCUGCCUCUGGAAGGUGCCAGCGUGGGGCAGCCAUCAGCACUGGGUGGGCCCCUGGCUCUGCUGUCUGCAGUCACAGACGACUCGGGACAUCCAGCGUCCCUGGGAGGAGAGCAAGGCAGAUAUGGCCAGGGUCAGGACGCCUCUGCUCAGAUGCAGCCUACAGUGCCCCAACCUUGGCCAGUGCCACACAGCUGUCAGCCUCUGUGGCUGCUGGGCCCCAUAAGGGCAUGGUGCCCACAGUCCCCAGGCGGCCAGGCUGGUGCUGAGGGCAGCAGGAGAAGGAGGCUAAGGACAUCGUGUAGGGCAGCAGAGGCCACUUGCAGGCCACUCCCAGACACCCUCGGGGCUGGGGAAUGGGACUGGGUAAUGGACGACUCCUGAGGACCACAGGUGGGACAGGCGUGGCCUCGCCGGGCUCCCGAGUAUCCCCAUGACAGGCGGGAUGUGGAAGGCCCUUCACCUGGCCGUGGCCCCUAGCUCUUCCAAGGCCAUGGGGAGAGGGAGCAACCCCGUGUCUGACCCCUCCCCUCAGCUGUGUGACCUGUUCACCUUCUCUGUCCUCGGGUCUGGGUGGGAAACACAGCUUCAGCUGAUGCCUCUUCCGAUCAUCGGGAAUGUGCAGGCUCUUGGGGGUGCAGAGCAGUGUGGGCAGGUGGCUGCACCCUGGCCCCACCCUGGAAACUCACCAUCCCCCAUCCUCCCAGGCAGAGCAGCCCCAGACUCCGUGCUGGUGUCCUGUCCCCUGGAGGGCCAGCCAGCAAGCAGGAGCCAGGCCCUGAGCCAACAGAGGGGAGGCCGACACUGCAUGGGGCAGAGAUGAGGCUGAACCCUGGCUGCAAAGCCACAGCAGCUCAGCCCUGCGGCCCUCAGAGCCCGGGCUACCACCUAUACAUGUCCCGCUGACCCCACGAAUCCAUGUCCCCUCUGCCUGUGGCCAGGUGCCUUCCCAGCCUGGGAGUCACAGCCAUGAGGGCCGCAGGGUCCCCCGUGUUUCUCUCCAUUUUCCGGUGCCCUGAGCGUUGUGGCACCACUGCUCCGUAGUCACAGGAGUGGAGUGCUCACAUGGUGGCUGCGGGCGUCAUGCCCUGGCCUCCAGGUGACAGAGCCAAGGCCCCUGUGCCAGGCCCCUUGCUCAGUGGCCAUGUGAAAGGGGGGAAAGAGACCAGCAGACUGCAACCGCAUCCUGCAUUUCCCUCAAUCCCACUGCGAUGUGGAUGUCGCUGGGUCCCUUCUCUGUGUGCGCUGGCCCUGAACUUGGGCCUCUGGUCUCUAGGUCCAGCGGGUGCUGCCCCCUGGGCCCAUCCCCACAGGUCUCGCAGGCUCUGUGUUUGGCAGCGCAGGGCACAGGGACCUUCCCGAUGACCACAGGAGCAGGAGAGGUGACUGCUGUGGCCUGGGGGGGAGCACAGUGGGGAAGGAGGGAAGCAGGAUCCCAGGUUGGUGGACAUUGGCCUUCUUCCCUGGGCCGCAGGACUGGCCAUGGAGGGCCAUUGUGGGGGACGGAGAAUGAGGGGUGCCCUGCGGUGACCAGGAGCGUGGGGCCUUGCCCCUGACUGUUGCCGAGGUUCCUGUGGUGCCACAGCACUUGGCCACACGCAAAUUCCCAUUGACACGUUUGCUCUGUGCCUGGGCAGGGGCUGAGUGUGCGUGGGUGUGCACAGGCCGGGACCUUGUGACCAGCAUUUCCACGUCCACUUCAUCCACGCCGUGCAGUGUAGCCACCCUUCACUUCAUUGCAGUGUUGGCCGACCCGGCUGCAUUUCCGCCGUCUGUGGGUCACUUGUGGGUGCGCGUGACGUAUGUUGUCACCCCUCAGUGUGGUCCCCGCAGUAGGCCCUGGGCUGCACGGCCUCCAGGGCCGCAUCCCUUGGGUGCCAAGCAGUGGGUCAGGAGCCGGGGACGCCCUCGCCAAGUGCGGGGGGAGACUGUUUGCAUGGCCGUGACCCAGCUGCCUGCAAGCUGUCAUUGUAUUUGGUUCCACAAACAGUCGCUGGAUCUCGCCAGCACCUGCUCCCACCCCCCUGGCUUGAACCAGAUUCUGUACCUGACUUUCCUGCUUGUUCCUGGACAAGGGCUGGGGGACCCCUUGGUGUCCAGAAGUGGAACAGAGCACAGCUGGGCCCCAUCCCGCCUGCUGUCCACGCCACCCCACUUCCUAGCCGCCCCUGCUCAGGGCCUUUGCACACUGUCCCCUCUGUUGAAGAUGCUCCCUGGGCACGUGCACGGCACCCACCUUCCUCCCCUUCAGGUCCUUCUCCAAGGCCCCUCUUCAGUGGCACCCACAGGCCCACCCUCUUCCCCCACCAUAUUUUCCUGCUGGUUGUGGUCGCUUCCCCUCUGGUCACUCCGUAUGGUGGGUCUUGUUUGUUCCAUACCCUUGACACCAGGGGGCCUGGAUUACAGGGACUAUGCCUUGUGGUAGGAUUAGGGGCCUAGGGCCACUGACGGCCAAGGGAUGACCACACAGGUGCCUGGGAAGGGUCGAGAGGUGGUGCCCAUCUGCCUGCCAGCUGCCAGGGUGUUUGAGCCUGUGCUCAGCCGCUGGGUUCUUUCAGCUGGCUUUGGGGUGGGGGCAGCUCAGGCUGAUGUGGACAGCUGGUCCUCAGCCCGAAUCCUUCCCCUUUAGACACAUGUCCUGGGGCUUUCCAGCCAGGCAAGGGGCCGGGCCUAGGGGCAGCGCCAGAAUGACCGCUCUGGCACGUUCUCAGGUCCUUGAGGAUGGGGCCUGUGGGGCAUCACCUGCCAAGGCUGUCCAGAGCCAUGCAGGACGGUGGUACCAUAGCCACCACUCUUCAUGAACAGCCAGAGUGACCUUCUGCCUGACAGAACCAGCCAAGGUGGCCUGGGGUCCACCUGGCUUAGGGGGCACUGGCCACUGCAACCCCAGCUGCUGUCUCCCCCACCUGGGACACCCAGGCUGCACCGUGAGCAGUUGGAAGAGGAGACGUGGACAGAGGCAGGGCCCUGCAAUGGGGACCCACAUGCUGGGCAGCUCUGAUUCACUCCUGUGCCAAGUGAUGGGGGGGUACCGCUGCACCCUACCUCAUCCAGCUCCCGGCAGGCAGACACUGCCCUCAGGGACAGUGGCGGUGUCAGAGAGAAGCAAGCAGAGGGGCAGAGGGACAACUUCUGCUCCUGCGGGGAUGCAGGUCGAGGUCACCAUCUGGCUCAGGCCUGGUUUCUUGGAUAAAGGGACAGAGGGGGUGGCUGUGCCAAGGCCCUGGGGCAGGAGCGAGCCUGGCCUGAGGAGGGACAUUGAGGGGCCUCAGAGUGGAAAUGUCCCUGGAGGCCAUGCUGGAGAAUGUGGGCUGAGGCCACAGAGGCGUGGGGACAGGAGCCCAGUGUGGCACUAGAGCACUGUGGGCCGGGCUAGGCUCGCCACUCAGCCUGCGCUGCGGGUCUCCACCUGUUUGGGAAACCAAGGCUCCAAGUGCCCCCUGCAGACCACAGGCAGCACUGUGGGACGUCCUGCAGGCCUCCCUCGCCCUCCCACAGCCCUGCCCAGGCGGCAGCGACAGGUUUGGAGGUGUGAGAGCCAGCAGGCAGGGCACGCGGCUUGGGGACACUGCUCAGCUGCUAAUCCCCUAAGGCAGCAGCAGCACAGAGCGGGCGUGGCACAGGUGUUUCACUCCCAGCCACACUCCUGGGCGUACUGCAGCAAGGUGCCAGAGGGGACCCUGAACUCAGCUCCACAGAGUCACACUGGGGUCCCGGGGUGAGGUCUGCACGCAGGCCGACAGGUGAUCUCUCCCAGCCUCAGGUUCCCCACACCCCCACCUGCCCGAGCUGUCCCUGCAAGCAGAGGCUGUCGCGCCAAGGGUCCCCCUCCUGGCACAGGCAGGCCCCUUCCCGGGAGAACCCCGAGGCUGCUUGGUGGGGCCGGAUCUGCUGGCAGCCCCGCGAGAGCAUUUGGAGGAAUGAGUCAAAACAUCCAGAAGGUUCCGCCUGGAGGGCAGGGGCGGAGCCGGCUCUGUGUCUCCCCCAGAGCAGCUGCUGCCCCGGCUGUGACAGCGCCCGUGCCAGCGCCCGGCCCAUCUGGCUGCCUGGCGACUUCCCAAGGCUGGGCUGGCAGAGUGAUGGGCCCCCACCCAGUACCCCACGCGUCAGGGACACUGGGUGACACCCCCUGGCAGGACGGCGGGGAACCCUCCACGUCAGGACCCUGACGUGACCCGAGAGCGUGGGGCAGCCCUGGCUGCUGGCCUCCAGGACGGUCCCUGUGCCUUCCUUGCCCUGCCACUGGCACUGGGGGUGGAGGACUCCAUGACCCUGAAGCAGAGGACACGUGGCCAGGCAGCAGCCCAGCUGUGCAUCCCUCUGUACCCCACCCUGUUCUGUCUGCCAGCUCCGAGAAUCCCUGCCUGAUCAGCCUUCUGGAUGCUGGAUGUGCUCCUUCAGUCUCAGUGGCAUUUGUGCCCUGGCCUGGGGCACUGGGAAGGUGGGCACAUGCUCAAGGCCCACCCUGGCCACUCUUCAUCCCACCCUAGGCCCACCCUAGCCGUGCUGACUUCAGGAGUAUGAGCAUCAUGAGCCUACGCCUGCCCUGUCCUCAGAGCUGGCUGGUGGCUCCUGUGGUCAACACUGCCCGUGGUCUCAAGGCAUUGUCCUGAGAGAGAUGUGACCACGGGCCCUGCUCAGCCGCCUGCACUCCAGUCCUGCCCUAACCUCUGGGUGGGGUGGCACAGAGCCCUGGUCACCUUGCCCCCCCUCCAUGUGCCACAGCCCCAAGGGAUGGGCCAGGGGGGCACCCUGCUCUGCAUCCCCCCAGUGGGAAGCCCAGCGCUCGGGCCACAGCCUAGCCCUGCCUCAGCAGCUCCAGAUGUAAGGGAGCCGUGUACGGAGCUGCACAUUGAUUUCAGCACAUGUGGACUCUGGUUCCGAGGCCUCCAGAGAGGGCCCAGACCUCAGGACACUCACAGGCAACGGCAGGGGGUGCACUGGUGUGUGUGUGUGUGUGUGUGUGUGUGUGUGUGUGUGUGUGUGUGUGUGAGAGAGAGAGAGAGAGACAGAGACAGAGACAGAGAGAGUGAGCGAGCACGUCCAAGGCCCCCAGCCAGGUCCCACUUGCAAAUCGAAGGCAGCAGGGAACCGCCAGGCUGCUCGGCUGAGGAGGAGGCGGCUGCGGGGCAGAGCAGCCCCGGCCUCACACCUGCAGCCAUGACCUCCCUUGCUGGGCUGCGUGGCCUCAGCUCACUGUGUCCGCCUCCAGCCCCGUUCCUCCGCAUGGGCUCUGGGACUUCAGGGUUCCCUGUGGGGCUGGGCCUGUGUGACAGGGUUUCUCACGCUCCCUGGCUGCCCGUGCAGUGCAGAUUGCAAGGCUGCUCCGUGCCGUCCUCACCGGCUGUCGUAUGGAAUCAGUUAAAGCUAUUACCUGUCCGCCUCGUAGCAGAGGCCAGGGACGGAGGCCAGGCCAGCAGCACUCGAGGUCCUGCCUGACGCAGACCCAGGCCCAGGACUUGACCUUGGCUAUGCUGCUGCCCUUGUGCCAGAGGGCAUCUGAACAGGCCACGCACAGCAGUGACUUUUGCCACUGCGGAUGGCUAGUGGCACCAACAUCCGUGGAAGACUGUUUCCUGGGGCCGCACCCCCACUUGGCCACGGUCAUCCCCAGUGGCCCUGCCACCACUGACCUGAUUCCUGGGGUCCCCCCUGCCACACAGGCCACAGGUUACAGGGGGCGUGGGGCGUCGGGAGGGGGCUGCAGGCCGGACCCACCAGGGAGGCCGGGGAGGAAGUGCCCAUGUGGCUGCAGGACCAGGAAAUCCUGGCUGGCAGGGUGCCACCAUCGUCACCAGCCAGACGUGCUUCGGAUCCUUGCCAGGCGGGUGGGGGUGGGGGUGGCACCGGCUUCCCCACUCCAUGCCAUCCUUCCUGCUGCCUGCGUGUAAUUAACAGAGUAAUUAAAAACAGGAUGAGUUAAUUGGUAUUCAUUUAUGUGGCAGAUGUUUUUAAUUGAGGCAGGAAACAAUUUACCUGUUUACAUAAACAAUGGCAAAGGCAGCCUUGUAAAACACUUCUUUACCUCUUCCUCCCCCUGCCUAAAGAGAAGAAUCGAAAGUGCCCAUCCCGGUGGUCCCUGCGUGGCCCGGCCAUGGCCUGUGGAGGAAACAUCUGUACUGGGCUUGCUUCCUCCCGAGCAGGCAGGGAGGUGGUGUCCUAGGUCUGGGGCCCCGCAGCCAGCAGGGGAGACCCCAGCCUCGGGGAGGGCCGGAAGGGCCAGGCGGGCUCGGCGUCCAUGGUGACGCCGUGCAACAGGACAGUGGCCACCUCAGCGUGGUGGCUGAGAUUCAUUGAAAUCAGGUGUACAACGCGGCUCCUUCUUGGAUAGUGACCUUGCGCUCUCGCAGGCAGGCCUGGAACUUCACACCGCGCUGCCCUGCUUCCCCUGGGACACAAGGGCGCUGUGACCAGCCCAGGGGAGCACGCUGGGCUGCCUGGCCUUGGCCUGCAGGGGGCGCUUGAGAAACGGGGCUGCGGAUGCCGCCUGUCUGCAGGUGGGUUCCACUCGGCACCUGCUGGGCACUGGGCCUGCUGCUCCCAGGCCCAGUCGCUGGGCUUAUGGAUGACUCUGAUUCCUGGGGUGAUGCCUGAGGGAGGGGAAACCGAGGCUUAUAGGCUCAGGAUGGGGUUGUGCGCCAGCAAAGGUUCCCUGGCUGGGGUGGAGAUGCCCAUUGUGCCAUCCAUGGCAGCAGCUGACUGAGUAGUGGCCCUGGCCAGUGUCUGGAGCCACCCCGAUGCAGGGUUGGGGGCCGUCUUUCCCGGACCCUUACUCCCAAUACUGCACUGCCGUAUGGUGCUGACUGUGCGGUCACCUGGUGCCAGCCAUCCUCACCCACAGGAGGAAGUGUGGCAGAUAGAGGUGGCAGCUUGGGUCCCACGGGCUGUGUGGGACCUGCAUCGUCCAUGUGCACAUCAGGCAUCUGCGCUCGGCCUGAAGCCUCUGCUGCCCCAGGAGGCGCUCCCACCCUGCCAGACUCAUGGGCCCACGUGAGCAGCGUGUUCCUCACAGUCCAGGGCGGGUGCGGCCUCCCCACCAGCCUUGGCCCUUGCCGCAGGCACAGUGGCCUGGCCUCUGCUGACUCCAGGCUCAGCAGUCAGGACAGGGAGGGAGGAUUCGUAUCCAGGCCCAUGUCAGGCCCAGAGGUAGCCCUGUGCAUCUGUGCAUUAACCAGCAGCCUCCCUGUGGGGAUGGACUGAGACGGGCUCCCUGGGAUGUCAGCUUGCCGCUGAGGGGAGGUGCACAGAAGGUAGCGACCAGAUCCCUGCCACUGCCCUGUGGAGGGGCUGUGUCCUUGGCCAGGGUCAGCACCUCCUGGUCAGGGAGAAUCCCAUGUGGGCGUGUGUGCACACAAGCAGACAGGUGUGGCCAACGCGUGUACAUAUGCAAGUGUGCACAUUCACAUAUGCAUGAGCACCCACACAUACACGUGAGGGCAUACACACAUGCACAGUGCAUGCACAGGAUCAUACAUGGGUAUGCACACACACACAAAGCUGCAAGCUGUGGUCAGGCUGUGUGUGACUGUGCUCCUGCCUGGAGUACCCAUAACGCCCCCAUGACACUCAGAAGGGGAGCCUUGUGACAUCCCAAGAGACCAUGCACAGGACCCUUGGAGAUGACCCUGCUCAGCUGAGGGUCCCCAGGGCAGCCCCUGUGUGCCCAGCUGCCUGCCGGCUCAUGGUCAUCCUUGUGCCCAUCGGCCCCACCGUUCGCACCCACUGAGCCCUGCAGGGAGUGUGGGAAGGGGCCAGAUGUGCCUGGCCUAGUGUGCCCUCCUCCCGCCACCCUGCCUGGCUGGCCACCUCCUGGCAGCGGGCAGCCCAGAUGGCGGGUUCGCCUCCCCCAGCUCUCAGGGAGCUGUGGCUGUGCGGCCGGCAGCUGGGCAGGGAAUGUGCUUCCUUCAGGCGAGCAGGGCCGCGGGUGAGCAGCCCUGGACAUCUGGAUCCCAUCUGCGGCCCUCAGGGAGCACAGGCAGCUCCAAUCCCAGCCACUCUGAGCCCCUCCACAGGCAGAGCGCCAGGGAGGGCGGGCAUGCCUCCCCAGGCCACACGGCCGAGAGUCUGGCUCACUGCAGCUGUGGGCUCCCAGCUGACCUGAAGCCCAGCUCUGGCAGAGAACCCACAGUGUCUCUGGGCUCUCCGGGACCCCACACACCCUCUGUGUCUGUUUCUCUGCGUGGUGUCAGCACCGGGUGUCCAUGGCUCCAUUUGGGCAAGAGAGGGAAGUUCAGGCUGAACAGGAAAGUGCCAGCCGAUCGCUUUCACAGCGUGUCCUCAGCAGAUCUGCUGGACUCGGGCCUUGCCCAUCAGAGAAGCUUAUGACGAGUGUGUGAGUAUUCUCCCAGGGCAUCCCCUCACGGUCUGGCCUCACCAGCAUGUGCAUGGUGUGUCCCUGGUGCUCUUGGCUGUGUUUCUUUUUUGUUGCUGUAUAGUAUUCUACCGUAUGGCUGAACCACAAAGCACAGUCAUUGGAGAGGUCCAAGCUGGGCCUCUUGGGAUGAUUAGCUCAGAAGACACGAGACUGUUGGCUCUGCAGAGAAAAUGCUGGGCUGGGGUGCAGGUGUUCAGAUGGGCAGGUGCUGGCAGAGGCACAGAGAGAGGCACUGUCCUCCAGGGCUCUGGGGGGAGCAGCUCCAUCACCACGAGACAGGUCAGAGCCGGCAUGUCCUCUGCUUGACAGCCAGGGACCGCUGUCCCCUCCCCAGGUCUCCCUGAACUGGUCCCCCUGUCUGUGCCGGCCCAAGCACACUGCAGCCUGCGGGUAGAGUGGCCCUGCUGUCCCUCGCUCAGGGCCCAGUGGUUCUUGGGACUGUGUCAAGGUCCCUGUCCUGACAAGAGGGCUCCACCAUGGACUCUGGGGGGCAUCCCCGCCCCGGGCUGCAGGCCACUCACAGCAGCCCAGACGCAGUCUCUCCCUGUCACCUGAGCGCAUGGACUCCCGAGGGCUACGGCCCAGGGCCCUCCCCGGGGCCCGCACGCAGGGUUGGAAAAAUAGUUCCAGCAUGUGAGACCCGGUAGCCCCAGACAACGUGGCCAGACACCAGGGUCCAGGAGGAACCCUGAACCCCAGCUUUCUGGGAGGCCCCAAGAAACCCCUACCCAGGUCACCUGCGGCCUUCAGAAAGCACCUGCAGGGGCUGGUAUUUAACUCAGCGGCAUAAGCGCCUGCCUGGCAAGUGCAGAGUUGUGAGUUUGAUCCCCGACACCAAAAAAAGAAACAGCACCUGUACCCAUGGGUGGCACCAUGGUGGCAAGGACCCUCCUGGGCUCUCGAGUCCCUGGCGCCACCACACCCGGCCUUUCCAGGGUCCACAGAAGCAAGGCUAUGGUGCUGAGCACCCCGCAUGCAGAGCCCACGUCCCCAAGCAGGACGAUCCCGUCACGCCGCCUGGCAGGCUCUGGGCACAUCCUGGUCACCGCCAGCCUCCCCCACUGCGCGGUAUGGUGCUGGCGUAAGCUCACAGUAGUUCUGGGGUCCUGGGCCGGCAUGGAUGCCCUCUGUCCCCAUCCCUGAGGCCUGGGCCUGGUCCCUAGGCCUUCACACAGGGUGGCUGCGGAGGACCCUGGGCCAGGACAUUGGGCGGUCCCUCGUUGGUCCCUCGAGGCCAUGGGUCAGCGGGUGUUCACUGAGUUCCUCUGCAUGCCCGGUGCCAUGGUAGGUGUUGGGGAUGUGGCCAUGUGGAGCUGACCUGGAGACAGAUGGCAUGAGGCACUAUGGAAGGGUGAACUUGGCGAGGACCCUGAUACCUGAGGCCAGGUUCUAGCGAAAGCGGCAUAGAUGCAAUGGACUGAAGAGCGGAUGGGGGCACUGCGGGAGCCAGCGUUGCGGCAGAGAUGACAGCAGUGCAAAGGCCCUGGGGCCACGUCCCGGGCUCAGUGACCUCAGGGUUGUAAGGCAGCUGGGGGCCUGCCCUGGUGUCCUUCCUCCCUUUCUCGUCCUCACUUUUCCAUCAGGAAGAUGACGCAGGGAAGGAGGAGAAGGCAGCAGCCUGGGUGGCUCCUGUCCCUGGUCCUCUGGCACCGUCAUUGUUCUUGGGGUGAGGAGCCGUGUGCGACCUGGCCCCACACCCAGUGUCCCCGACCCACAGUGGGGAAACUGAGGCUGCCCUCCCAGGCCUCAGCCUCCAGAGGUGGCCCGUUCACAACCAAGUCAGGGAGGAGACGGAGGCACAGUGCUGUCCUGGGUUGUGGCCCAGUGCCUUUGACAGUGUGCAUGGUUGCCAUGGGCAUGUGGGGCACGGCUGCCGGGUCCAGGCCCCUUCCUGGCCCCACACGUGCAAAGCUCCUGCCCAUGCCGGGAUGAGCUGAGUCCAUAGGGAUAGCCUGGCGCUUGGGGGCAGCACCCGAGGACUUUGCCCUAUUGUGCCUCAGUUUCCCCAUCUGCCAACCUCAGAGUCAUGCAGGGGAGGAAUGAGAUGGUGUGUGGGUCAGGCCCGACACCCCAAGGACCAGAUGCCGCAGCUGGGUCCCCAGCCUGCCCACCUCGCUGUCGGGGUGUAGGGCUCGCGGCAGGGGCAGCGGCACAGAGCCUGGCUGCCUCCUCGAGGGCUCAGGACACAGCUGGUCUGGGCUGGGCCAGUUCCCGGGACCUAGCACAGGACAGUGAUGGAUGGCGGGUGGCUUGGCCACUAGGGCACAUUCCACCCUUUCCCACCACCACCCACAACUCCCCCACCCCCUGCCAGGCUGGGAACAGAUCGGGUCUGCUGUCUGGGAAGGCGUGGGGUCCCCGGGCGCAUGGGGCCUGGGAACUCUCCAGGCCGGGCGGCGCCUCGUGCACCCUGGGGACUGAGGCUCCCGAGCGAGCGAGCGCUGGCCCGGCCCAGCCCGGGAGCACAUCGGGCCAGGCAGGAGGGUGGAGGGCCUGUCCCAUCUGCCUGCUCAGCUCUUGCCUCAGUGUCACCCCACGAGGGCGUGGCAGCGUCUGCUCCAGGGGCUGCUUUGGGAAGGAAGUUCUUUAACCUCGGCCCCACCACCCUGAAUGCACCGACCUCCUCAGCGUGCAGGAUUUUUUUUUUUUUUUUUUGGACAGGGUUUUUUGCUUUGCUUUGUAUUUCGGGAGUUUUUUGCAGUCCUGGAACUGAACCCAGGGUCUUCACACUGAGCUACAUCCCAACACUCGUUAAUUCUUACUUUGAGACAGGGUCUCCCCACGUUGCCCAAACUGGGCUUGAACUUUCGAUCCUCCUGCCUCCGCCUCUGAGUGCUGAGACGACAGUGUGCACCCCCUGGCCUGGCUUGAAAUACACUUUUAUGCAUGGGCUGGGGCUCUGGGCUUGUUGUGACCCUAAGCCUGCGCCUUGUGCCCCACU